rnacentral:rRNA from 1 species
AUUGAACGCUGGCGGCAUGCUUUACACAUGCAAGUCGAACGGUAACAGGCCGCAAGGUGCUGACGAGUGGCGAACGGGUGCGUAAUGCAUCGGAACGUGCCCAGUCGUGGGGGAUAACUACUCUAAAGAGUAGCUAAUACCGCAUCCGAUCUAUGGAUGAAAGCGGUGGACCGUAAGGCCUCGCGCGAUUGGAGCGGCCGAUGUCCGAUUAGGUAGUUGGUGGGGUAAAGGCUCACCAAGCCGACGAUCUGUAGCUGAUCUGAGAGGACGACCAGCCACACUGGGACGGAGACACGGACAAGACGCCUAAGGGAGGCAGCAGAGGGGAAUUUUGGACAAUGGGCGCAAGCAUGAUACAGCAAUGCCGCGUGCAGGAAGAAGGCGUUCGGGUUGUAAACUGCGUUUGUACGGAACGAAACGGCUCUGGUUAAUACCCAGGGCUAAUGACGGUACCGUAAGAAUAAGCACCGGCUAACUACGUG